rnacentral:tRNA from 1 species
GGGGGAGUGGCGGAACUGGCAGACGCGCCGAUUUUAGGGGUCGGUGAGCUCACGCUCGUGGGGGUUCGAGUCCCCCCUUCCCUA